AACGAACGCUGGCGGCAGGCUUAACACAUGCAAGUCGAACGCGUGCAGCAAUGCACGAGUGGCGCACGGGUGAGUAACGCGUGGAUAUCUGCCUUUUGGUUCGGAAUAACCCCGGGAAACUGGGGCUAAUACCGGAUGGUUCCUACGGGAUAAAGAUUUAUCGCCAAAAGAUGAGUCCGCGUCCGAUUAGCUAGUUGGUGAGGUAAUGGCUCACCAAGGCGACGAUCGGUAGCUGGUCUGAGAGGACGAUCAGCCACACUGGGACUGAGACACGGCCCAGACUCCUACGGGAGGCAGCAGUGGGGAAUAUUGGACAAUGGGGGCAACCCUGAUCCAGCCAUGCCGCGUGGGUGAUGAAGGCCUUCGGGUUGUAAAGCUCUUUUGGCGGGGACGAUGAUGACGGUACCCGCAGAAUAAGCCCCGGCUAACUUCGUG
rnacentral:rRNA from 1 species